GGGUUGGGGGGGCUAUAGAAUGCUUUAGAGUGCUGGGAAAAAGAGGACAUGGAAAAUGUCCUUGUUUUUCCCAGUCUCCUGAUAUUGAAGGUGUGUUAUCAUAAAAAUGUCCUGAAUUGUCAUGAAAACAAAUGACGAAAAAGAGUAC